GGUAGCUCAGUGGUUAAGAUGGUGGACUACCAAUCAGAAGGUCAUGAGUUCAAUCCUCAGCACCA